rnacentral:rRNA from 1 species
UACGUAGGGUGCGAGCGUUAAUCGGAAUUACUGGGCGUAAAGCGUGCGCAGGCGGUUCGUUGUGUCAGCGGUGAAAGCCCCGGGCUCAACCUGGGAAUGGCCGUUGAAACUGGCGAACUGGAGUGUGGCAGUGGGGGGUGGAAUUCCACGUGUAGCAGUGAAAUGCGUAGAGAUGUGGAGGAAUACCGAUGGCGAAGGCAGCCCCCUGGGUCAAUACUGACGCUCAUGCACGAAAGCGUGGGGAGCAAACAGG